AUGAUAAAAAUAAAUACGAAGUAUAAGACGAUAAAUAGACUGUGUGUUGGGUGCAGUGUCUCACCACGGGGAGACUGUGUGUUGGUGCUGGGUCUCAUCAGGGGAGACUGUGUGUGUGUUGGUGCUGGGUCUCAUCAGGGGAGACUGUGUGUUGGGUGCUGGGUCUCAUUGGGGGAGACUGUGUGUUGGGUUCUGGGUCUCAUCACAGCGAGAUUGUGUGUUGGGUUCUGGGUCUCAUCACGGGGAGACUGUGUGUUGGGUUCUGGGUCUCAUCACGCGGAGACUGUGUGUUGGGUGCUGGGUCUCAUCACGGGGAGACUGUGUGUUAGGGGCAGGGUGUCAUCAGGGGGAGACUGUGUGUUGGGUGCUGGGUCUCAUCAGGGGCCUCUUUAUGUAGGCUCGUUAUGUAAAAAUAAAUAAAUAAAUAUUUUUAGGCAUAGUAUAAGGAUACGUGAAGAUGAGGAGACACAAGAAAACAUCUCAGCCGCCAAAGAGUCACUGUGAGGCCAAAUGUCCAACAUUAAGAGAAAGGAGAGGCCUCACCAAGAACUGGAACCAAAACUUUUCAUUGUUCGGGUCCAGCAGCAGCUCUGGGAGCCCAGAGAAUUUUAUCAUCCCAUCAGAAACAAGAGUCUAUAAUCUUCCAGCUGCUUUAUUUCUUUAUAAAUUUGUACUUUUUAAAAAAUGGGUUUAAUCAGUUCAGAUUCAGAACACCCAUAUAUGUUUCAAGUUACUGUAUGUGCCUUGAUUUCCUGUAAAUCCAACCUAUAGAAUGUGGGCUUUUAAUCAAUAAUUUCAACAAGUAUUAAUUGAACACAUAUUAUGGAUUUGUCAUUCGUUCGUGUACUUAAAAUAGAACCAGAAUACUGAAUAGGAUAAACAAGAUCCCUGCCCACACAGAGUUUACAGGGUGGGGCUGGGGAGGUGGGCAAAUAUGGGAAAUAUAACAUAAUAAAUAUAACAACAGUCUGAGAAGGGCAUGAUUCUGCAAAGCACAUUAGAAGGAUACCCAACCCAGACCUGUAGGUUAAAAAUAUCUCCCAGAGGAGGUAACAUCUACAGUGAAAGUGUUGGCCAAAUGUGCAUAUAUAUGCAUACGCAUGUAGGUGUGUAUGUUUGGGGAGGAGGAAUGAUCCUAAUUCAGGAAGAAUAGAACAUACAAAGCUCCAGGGACAAUAAAGUACCUGACCUUCAUGGCAAAAAGGCACAUGAAG
rnacentral:lncRNA from 1 species